rnacentral:sRNA from 1 species
UUAGUGAGGCCUCCUGACUGGCGCCGAUGCUCUGGCGACAGAGCGCCGGAUGCCGGAAAGUUGGUCAAACUUGAUCAUUUAGAGGAAGUAAAAGUCGUAACAAGGUUUCCGUAGGUGAACCUGCGGAAGGAUCAUUACCGAUGCAGUCCGACAACUCCGUUGUUUACCUUGUGAACUGUACCUAACUCUUAGGGGUCGGCAAGUCCGUUAAAUGGCGGUCGUACGUGUCUGUCCGUCUCGAGAGAGGAUUGCGGACGGACGCGGACGCUCUGCCAGCCCCGACCGUGUUUUUAACACGAACGAAGGUGGGCUUUACUGUACGUCUGAUCUGGGUGGCCACUCCGUGCGUCACCGCGAGAGAGAGCAAAAACGAGAUACAACUUUUGACGGUGGAUCUCUUGGCUCACGCAUCGAUGAAGAACGCAGCCAGCUGCGAUAAGUAGUGUGAAUUGCAGAAUUCAGUGAAUCAUCGAAUCUUUGAACGCAAAUGGCGCUCUUGGGUUCUCCCAGGAGCAUGUCUGUCUGAGUGUCGGAUAUCAUCCAUCGCACCCGGCGGUGCGGCGUUGAGGCGUCACGGCCGGACGGUUUACCGUGCCGUGUCCCUUGAAGGCAAGAGAGACCCGCGUGGCUCGGGCCGGUCCCCGGCAGACACGAUCGCGGAGGCUAAAAGCUGUUUUGCCCUUCGCGUGCCGGUGCGACUGGCCGUACCAGGGUCGGUCGGUCGGACGAGGCGAACGCUAAAGACUCUGACCUCAGAU